AACGUAGGUGGCAAGCGUUAUCCGGAAUUACUGGGCGUAAAGGGUGUGCAGGCGGGGUUGCAAGUGGUGUAUGAAAUAUCCCAGCUUAACUGGGAGGGGUUAUGCCAGACUGCAACUCUAGAGGACGAGAGAGGGGGGUGGAAUUCCGGGUGUAGUGGUGAAAUGCGUAGAGAUCCGGAGGAACCCCAGAGGCGAAGGCGGCCCCCUGGCUCGUACCUGACGUUCAGCCACGAAAGCAUGGGGAGCGAACGGG
rnacentral:rRNA from 1 species